UAGUCCACGCCGUAAACGAUGAGAACUAGAUGUCGGGAGGGUUUUGCCUCUCGGUGUCGCAGCUAACGCGUUAAGUUCUCCGCCUGGGGAGUACGGUGGCAACACUAAAACUCAAAGGAAUUGACGGGGACCCGCACAAGCGGUGGAGCAUGUGGUUUAAUUCGAUGCAACGCGAAGAACCUUACCUGCCCUUGACAUUGACAGAACCCUUUAGAGAUAGAGGGGUGCUUCGGCCUGGAAAACAGGUGCUGCAUGGCUGUCGUCAGCUCGUGUCGUGAGAUGUUGGGUUAAGUCCCGCAACGAGCGCAACCCUUGUCCUUAGUUGCCAUCAUUUAGUUGGGCACUCUAGGGAGACCGCCGGUGACAAACCGGAGGAAGGUGGGGACGACGGUCAAGUCAUCAUGGCCCUUAUGGGCAGGGCUACACACGUGCUACAAUGGCCGGUACAGAGGUUGCCAAGUCGCGAGACGGAGCCAAUCCCAGAAAGCCGGUCGUAGUCCGGAUUGGAGUCUGCAACUCGA
rnacentral:rRNA from 1 species